rnacentral:siRNA from 1 species
GGGCACGGGCGUUAAUGGACAUGU